GCCGGCCUAGCUCAAUUUGGCAGAGCAACUGACUUGUAAUCAGUAGGUUGGGGGUUCAAGUCCCUCGGCCGGCA
rnacentral:tRNA from 1 species